AACGAACGCUGGCGGCAUGCCUAACACAUGCAAGUCGAACGAGACCUUCGGGUCUAGUGGCGCACGGGUGCGUAACGCGUGGGAACCUGCCCUUAGGUUCGGAAUAACUCCCCGAAAGGGGUGCUAAUACCGGAUAAUGUCUUCGGACCAAAGAUUUAUCGCCUUUGGAUGGGCCCGCGUUGGAUUAGCUAGUUGGUAGGGUAAAAGCCUACCAAGGCGACGAUCCAUAGCUGGUCUGAGAGGAUGAUCAGCCACACUGGGACUGAGACACGGCCCAGACUCCUACGGGAGGCAGCAGUGGGGAAUAUUGGACAAUGGGCGAAAGCCUGAUCCAGCAAGGCCGCGUGAGUGAUGAAGGCCUUAGGGUUGUAAAGCUCUUUUACCCGGGAUGAUAAGGACAGUACCGGGAGAAUAAACUCCGGCUAACUCCGU
rnacentral:rRNA from 1 species